CCUACGGGAGGCUGCAGUGGGGAAUAUUGGACAAUGGGCGAAAGCCUGAUCCAGCCAUGCCGCGUGUGUGAAGAAGGCCUUCGGGUUGUAAAGCACUUUCAGUGGGGAAGAAAGCCUUGGGGCUAAUACCCUCGAGGUAUGACAUCACCCACAGAAGAAGCACCGGCUAACUCCGUGCCAGCAGCCGCGGUAAUACGGAGGGUGCAAGCGUUAAUCGGAAUUACUGGGCGUAAAGCGCGCGUAGGCGGUUUGAUAAGCCUGUUGUGAAAGCCCCGGGCUCAACCUGGGAACGGCAUCCGGAAACGGCCGGACUGGAGGACGGAAAGGAAGGUAGGAAUCCCCGGGUAGCCGGGAAAUGCGUAGGGUAUGGGAGGGAUCACCAGGGGGAAGGGGGACUUCCUGACCGAAACCGGAGCUUAAGUGGCGAAACGUUGGUAGCAAAACAGAAUUAGUUACCCCGGUAGUC
rnacentral:rRNA from 1 species